GCGCACGCAGGCGGUUUGUUAAGCUAGAUGUGAAAGCCCCGGGCUCAACCUGGGAUGGUCAUUUAGAACUGGCAGACUAGAGUCUUGGAGAGGGGAGUGGAAUUCCAGGUGUAGCGGUGAAAUGCGUAGAUAUCUGGAGGAACAUCAGUGGCGAAGGCGACUCCCUGGCCAAAGACUGACGCUCAUGUGCGAAAGUGUGGGUAGCGAACAGGAUUAGAUACCCUGGUAGUCCACACCGUAAACGCUGUCUACUAGCUGUGUGUGGCUUUAAGGCGUGAGUAGCGAAGCUAACGCGAUAAGUAGACCGCCUGGGGAGUACGGCCGCAAGGUUAAAACUC
rnacentral:rRNA from 1 species